CAAUAUUUCAUUCUUACUUUCAGACAAGCACAGAAAACACAAAUCAAACUGUGACCCUCCCUUUGAAGGAUGGUGAAAAAUCAGGCGUACGUUGAUUGAUGGUGGUUGUCACUCCAGAAACCUGUUCUUCUCCAUCUCUUCUAGAAGCCUAAGAGAUGGUACCUUUGUAAGCUGGCUGGCCAAAACCUUGUUCUCUUCUCUCAACAGCUUCUCCUGUUUAAACAACAUCACAACUCCAUCAGUUUUCAAACAUGUUCUGAAACAUCAAACGUCAUCGCAGUUCGGUGGUAAAUGACCGAUGGAAGGGAGAGUAAGAUUUGAUUAAUAAAUAAAUGUAGCCAAUAGUAACUCAGGAACUAAGACGAGACCAAUAUACAUAUCUACAGAGCUUAGCUUGGUCUAGUGAUCUGAAUCCUGUGGAAAAAAACUUCAGUGGCCAGGACAUCGAAUAAAAAACC